CAAAAAGGAUCAAGGAGCUGUCAGCACCUUGCCUAUGGAGAAAGGCCGAGAGAGUUGGGCUUACUCAGCCUGGAGAAGAGAAGGCUCUGGGGAGACCUUAUAGCAGCAUUUCAGUAAUUAAAGGGAGUGUAUAAGAAAGCCAGAGUGAGACUUUUUACCAGGGCCUGUAGUGACAGGACAAGUGACAACUGUUU